UGGGGAAUAUUGCACAAUGGGGGAAACCCUGAUGCAGCGACGCCGCGUGGAGGAAGAAGGUCUUCGGAUUGUAAACUCCUGUUGUUGGGGAAGAUAAUGACGGUACCCAACAAGGAAGUGACGGCUAACUACGUGCCAGCAGCCGCGGUAAAACGUAGGUCACAAGCGUUGUCCGGAAUUACUGGGUGUAAAGGGAGCGCAGGCGGGAAUGCAAGUUGGAAGUGAAAUCCAUGGGCUCAACCCAUGAACUGCUUUCAAAACUGCAUUUCUUGAGUAGUGCAGAGGUAGGCGGAAUUCCCGGUGUAGCGGUGGAAUGCGUAGAUAUGACACAGAAGGCCGAUUGCGAAGGCAGCUGGCAAAGGCACGAUUGACGCUGAGGCACGAAAGUGCGGGGAUCGAACAGGAUUAGAUACCCUGGUAGU
rnacentral:rRNA from 1 species